GAAAGUCAAGCUGGUUGAUUGGUAUGUUUGAUUCAUAACAGCAAACACAUGGUUUUUCAUAAGUAUAUUUGGCGUUACAUGCAAGUUUUCAGUCGUUGUUGGACUGGAGUGAGCAUGGAAACGAGGUUCAUUCCACCUUUGAGCCCCCGUUUCAUGCUGGUCAAAAUCAUAUCAAAUCAGGUGUUUAAGCUCGAUAACGCGAGGAGUGGUUUCCCGGUCUCCCGAGCCAGAGGCUCAUGUUCGAGCAUUCCGGGUCGAAUUGGAAUUUAGAAGUACUGGUUUUUGAGGGGAGGAGAGAGGAGGGGAAAACCGCUGUACCGGGGGAGAGAAACCAACAACAAACUUAGCCCACAUAGCUAAGCUCAGAAUCGAACCCGGGCCACAUCGGUGGGAGGCGAGUGCUCUCACCAGUGCGCCAGCCCUGCUCCCCUGCUUCCCAGUUCAGACAAAGUUUAACAUGAGCUCUUCAAGAAGUCAACGAAACGACAAUGCGUAUUGAAAAAAAAAUACAACAGGAAUACAGCAAAAUACUAACAAGCAAAUCAAUAUAGAAGCAGAAGGAAGAGACGCUAAAGCCCUAAGCAUAAAAAAACACCGAUAAAAUUGCAGGAUGCAAAAAGCAACCUCAGUGGUUUGGAGUUGAUUUGGAGAGCUUCUGCAUGCGACGUGUUUACGGAAUGCAAACGGUAGUGAGCUAGCUAUUUGACUUAUCUUUACACUACCACAUGAUUGUUGUUGUCUUUUCACUGGUACAAACGAUUACUUUAAACGUCUGGGAGAGACUACCGUCCUGGCAUGCCUAAUAAUCACUUCCAGUUUUCGUCCGUUGCUUAGUAACGUCGCUUGCUUAAGAUCUUUUUUAUGACAUAUGAACGUGGGGCACAAACAACAGGUGGGUUUUUCUUAAAUGAAGGGUUUACGUUAUAACAAAAAAAA